rnacentral:rRNA from 1 species
UACGUAGGUGGCGAGCGUUGUCCGGAUUUACUGGGCGUAAAGGGAGCGUAGGCGGAUUUUUAAGUGAGAUGUGAAAUACUCGGGCUCAACUUGAGUGCUGCAUUUCAAACUGGAAGUCUAGAGUGCAGGAGAGGAGAAUGGAAUUCCUAGUGUAACGGUGAAAUGCGUAGAGAUUAGGAAGAACACCAGUGGCGAAGGCGAUUCUCUGGACUGUAACUGACGCUGAGGCUCGAAAGCGUGGGGAGCAAACAGG